rnacentral:rRNA from 1 species
GACAGAGGGUGCAAACGUUGUUCGGAAUUACUGGGCGUAAAGCGCGUGUAGGCGGCAAGGCAAGUCGGAUGUGAAAGCCCACGGCUCAACCGUGGAAGUGCACCCGAAACUGCCUAGCUAGAGUCUCGGAGAGGAAGGUGGAAUGCUUGGUGUAGAGGUGAAAUUCGUAGAUAUCAAGCGGAACACCGGUGGCGAAGGCGGCGACCUGGUCCGUGACUGACG